AAUUCGACGCAACGCGCAGAACCUUACCUGGUCUUGACAUCUACGGAACCUUCGUGAAAGCGAGGUGUGCCUUCGGGAGCCGUAAGACAGGUGCUGCAUGGCUGUCGUCAGCUCGUGUCGUGAGAUGUUGGGUUAAGUCCCGCAACGAGCCGCAACCCCUAUCCUCAGUUGCCAUCAUUAAGUUGGGCACUCUGUGGAGACUGCCGGUGUUAAACCGGAGGAAGGUGGGGAUGACGUCAAAUCAUCAUGCCCCUUAUGACCUGGGCUACAAACGUGAUACAAUGGCCGAAACAAAGGGCAGCGAAGCAGUGAUGUGGAGCGAAACCCAAAAAGCAGUCUCAGUUCGGAUUGAAGUCUGCAACUCGACUUCAUGAAGUCGGAAUCGCUAGUAAUCGCGGAUCAGCAUGCCACGGUGAAUACGUUCCCGGGCCUU
rnacentral:rRNA from 1 species